rnacentral:rRNA from 1 species
UACGUAGGGUGCAAGCGUUGUCCGGAAUUAUUGGGCGUAAAGAGCUCGUAGGCGGUUUGUCGCGUCUGCUGUGAAAACUGGAGGCUCAACCUCCAGCCUGCAGUGGGUACGGGCAGACUAGAGUGCGGUAGGGGAGAUUGGAAUUCCUGGUGUAGCGGUGGAAUGCGCAGAUAUCAGGAGGAACACCGAUGGCGAAGGCAGAUCUCUGGGACCGUAACUGACGCUGAGGAGCGAAAGCGUGGGGAGCAAACAGG